UGGCGGACGGGGGAGUAAUGUCUGGGAAACUGCCUGAUGGAGGGGGGUAACUACUGGAAACGGUAGCUAAUACCGCAUAACGUCGCAAGACCAAAGAGGGGGACCUUAGGGCCUCUUGCCAUCGGAUGUGCCCAGAUGGGAUUAGCUAGUAGGUGGGGUAACGGCUCACCUAGGCGACGAUCCCUAGCUGGUCUGAGAGGAGGACCAGCCACACUGGAACUGAGACACGGUCCAG
rnacentral:rRNA from 1 species